rnacentral:rRNA from 1 species
AUUGAACGCUGGCGGCAGGCCUAACACAUGCAAGUCGAACGAGUGGCGGACGGGUGAGUAAUGUCUGGGAAACUGCCUGAUGGAGGGGGAUAACUACUGGAAACGGUAGCUAAUACCGCAUACCAUCAGAUGUGCCCAGAUGGGAUUAGCUAGUAGGUGGGGUAAUGGCUCACCUAGGCGACGAUCCCUAGCGGGUCUGAGAGGAUGACCAGCCAAACAGGAGCUAAGGCAAGGUACAGAAGCCUACGGGAGGAAGCAGUGGGGAAGAUUGAACAAGGGGCGAAAGCAUGAUGCAGCCAUGCCGCGUGUGUGAAGAAGGCCUGCGGGUUGUAAAGCACUUUCAGCGAGGAGGCGUUACUCGCAGAAGAAGCACCGGCUAACUCCGUGCCAGCAGCCGCGGUAAUAC